rnacentral:rRNA from 1 species
GGGCCAAGAUGUCACUAGCUGUUGGGGCCGUUAGGCCUUAUUAGCGCAGCUAACGCGUGAAGUUGACCGCCUGGGGAGUACGGUCGCAAGAUUAAAACUCAAAGGAAUUGACGGGGACCCGCACAAGCGGUGGAUGAUGUGGAUUAAUUCGAUGCAACGCGAAAAACCUUACCUACCCUUGACAUGUCUGGAAAGCCGAAAAGAUUUGGCCGUGCUCGCAAGAGAACCGGAACACAGGUGCUGCAUGGCUGUCGUCAGCUCGUGUCGUGAGAUGUUGGGUUAAGUCCCGCAACGAGCGCAACCCUUGUCAUUAGUUGCUACGCAAGAGCACUCUAAUGAAACUGCCGGUGACAAACCGGAGGAAGGUGGGGAUGACGUCAAGUCCUCAUGGCCCUUAUGGGUAGGGCUUCACACGUCAUACAAUGGUCGGGACAGAGGGUCGCCAACCCGCGAGGGGGAGCCAAUCUCAGAAACCCGAUCGUAUUCCGGAUCGCAGUCUGCAACUCGACUGCGUGAAGUCGGAAUCGCUAGUAAUCGCGGAUCAGAAUGUCGCGGUGAAUACAUUCCCGGGUCUUGUACACACCGCCCGUCACACCAUGGGAGUGGGUUUCACCAGAAGUAGGUAGCCUAACCGUAAGGAGGGCGCUUACCACGGUGGGAUUCAUGACUGGGUGAAGUC